rnacentral:tRNA from 1 species
UCCCCUUCGUCUAGUGGCCUAGGACACCGCCCUUUCACGGCGGUAACAGGGGUUCGAGUCCCCUANAAGCGGAU